rnacentral:rRNA from 1 species
GAUCGUGGCGAUGUGGGCAGUUCACUGCCGGUGACAUCGCAAGAAGUCCACUGAACCAUAUCAUUUAGAGGAAGGAGAAGUCAUAACAAGGUUUUCGUAGAUGAACCUGCGGAAGGAUCAUUGUCAAU